UACGGGGGGAGCAAGCGUUGUUCGGAUUUACUGGGCGUAAAGGGCGCGUAGGCGCCUUCUAAGUCGAACGUGAAAUCCCCGGGCUCAACCCGGGAACUGCGUCCGAUACUGGAAGGCUUGAAUCCGGGAGAGGGAUGUGGAAUUCCAGGUGUAGCGGUGAAAUGCGUAGAUAUCUGGAGGAACACCGGUGGCGAAGGCAGCCAUCUGGAC
rnacentral:rRNA from 1 species